AUUGAACGCUGGCGGCAUGCCUUACACAUGCAAGUCGAACGGUAGAGGGGGCAACCCCUCGAGAGUGGCGAAUGGGUGAGUAAAGCAUCGGAACGUGCCCAGUAGGGGGGGAUAGCCCGGCGAAAGCCGGAUUAAUACCGCAUGAGACCUACGGGUGAACGGGGGGGAUCGCAAGACCUCUCGCUAUUGGGGCGGCCGAUGUCAGAUUAGGUAGUUGGUGGGGUAAAGGCCUACCAAGCCGACGAUCUGUAGCUGGUCUGAGAGGACGACCAGCCACACUGGGACUGAGACACGGCCCAGACUCCUACGGGAGGCAGCAGUGGGGAAUUUUGGACAAUGGGCGCAAGCCUGAUCCAGCCAUGCCGCGUGCGGGAAGAAGGCCUUCGGGUUGUAAACCGCUUUUGUCAGGGAAGAAAUCCUUUGAGCUAAUACCUCGGGGGGAUGACGGUACCUGAAGAAUAAGCACCGGCUAACUACGUGCCAGCCGCCGCUGUAAGAC
rnacentral:rRNA from 1 species